AGUGAACGCUGGCGGUAGGCCUAACACAUGCAAGUCGAACGGCAGCACAGUUAGAGCUUGCUCUUACGGGUGGCGAGUGGCGGACGGUUGAGGAAUACAUCGGAAUCUACUUUUUCGUGGGGGAUCACGGAUGGCAACCUACGCUAAUACCGCAUCCGACCUACGGGUGAAAGCAGGGGAUCUUCGCACCUUGCGCGAUUGAAUGAGCCGAUGUCGGAUUAGCUAGUUGGCGGGGUAAAGGCCCACCAAGGCGACGAUCCGUAGCUGGUCUGAGAGGAUGAUCAGCCACACUGGAACUGAGACACGGUCCAGACUCCUACGGGAGGCAGCAGUGGGGAAUAUUGGACAAUGGGCGCAAGCCUGAUCCAGCCAUACCGCGUGGGUGAAGAAGGCCUUCGGGUUGUAAAGCCCUUUUGUUGGGAAAGAAAAGCAGCAGGUUAAUACCCCGCUGUUCUGACGGUACCCAAAGAAUAAGCACCGGCUAACUUCGUG
rnacentral:rRNA from 1 species